rnacentral:sRNA from 1 species
GCCGGGUUUGGUGGAGCACACCUGUAAUCCCAGCGGUUUGGGAGGCUGAGGCAGGAGGAUCUCAAGUUCAAAGCCAGCUUGAGCAAAGUAGCAAGACCCUGUUUCAA